rnacentral:rRNA from 1 species
UACGGGGGGGGCAAGCGUUGUUCGGAAUUACUGGGCGUAAAGGGCUCGUAGGUGGCCAACUAAGUCAGACGUGAAAUCCCUCGGCUUAACCGGGGAACUGCGUCUGAUACUGGAUGGCUUGAGUUUGGGAGAGGGACGCGGAAUUCCAGGUGUAGCGGUGAAAUGCGUAGAUAUCUGGAGGAACACCGGUGGCGAAGGCGGCUCUCUGGAUCUUUUCUGACGCUGAGGCACGAAAGCUAGGGGAGCAAACGGG